rnacentral:rRNA from 1 species
AAUUCGAUGCAACGCGAAAACCUUACCCACCUUUGACAUGUACGGAACCCUUUAGAGAUAGAGGGGUGCCCGAAAGAGAGCCGUAACACAGGUGCUGCAUGGCUGUCGUCAGCUCGUGUCGUGAGAUGUUGGGUUAAGUCCCGCAACGAGCGCAACCCUUGUCAUUAGUUGCUACAUUCAGUUGGGCACUCUAAUGAGACUGCCGGUGACAAGCCGGAGGAAGGUGGGGAUGACGUCAAGUCCUCAUGGCCCUUAUAGGUGGGGCUACACACGUCAUACAAUGGCUGGUACAAAGGGUUGCCAACCCGCGAGGGGGAGCCAAUCCCAUAAAGCCAGUCGUAGUCCGGAUCGUAGUCUGCAACUCGACUACGUGAAGUCGGAAUCGCUAGUAAUCGUGGAUCAGAAUGUCACGGUGAAUACGUUCCCGGGUCUU